rnacentral:lncRNA from 1 species
CCCGGGCCUCCAGGUCCCAGUUUGCGUAUCCCUGAGGCAGUCCUGCGGCCUCUGGAACAAAGAUCAUUGGGAUUCCACCCUGCCUCGCUCUCUGGCACAGCCUGUCCACCAGGCCUGCGGAUGUCUGAUCCUGGGUCAUCUGCCUUACCCGCUUGUUCCCUGGCUUCGAACGGAAUGGAUGACUUUGCCUCAGGCAUGCUAACCUUCUCCUCCAGAAGCCCACAAUUCGUAUGGGGCGAGAAUUCAUAUGAAGAAACAGAGGAAAGGGAACCUCUGCCACUCCAGUGCAGCCUGACAUUCCUGAGAUGCCUCAAGACACAGCUAAACAAAUGUUGUAGGUCCUUCUGCUUCUGCUAUGUGGAUGCUGCUUCAGCAUGGCUUGAUGAGAUCCAUUCCCAGGAUCUGAACUGGUGAAGCCCUGGGCUGCUGAAGCAGAGCAUGUGAACUUAACCAUUCGGCCACGGGGCCUUCUUGGUUUUUGGUUUCCACCCACCACCGUGAUGUCAGACUCUCUUUGACUUUGAGAGUCUCCUCUGGCAGAGAAGGGAGGUAGAAAUCUCUUCAAGUGUGGGGUGGUUCCUGCCUUAGCUGAUAUCGCUGCAGAAACCUCUCUCCACAGCCUGGUCAUGGGCUUGGCACCUGCCGCAAGAAAUUGGACCUGUAGCAUGUGCAAUGGUUCUGAAGCCUGUGACCAAUCCUCCCACUGCCAUCAAAAUAAAGGGUGGUUCUGAGACCUAUUUCAACUUUUUUUU